rnacentral:rRNA from 1 species
ACCGGCGCACGGGUGAGUAACACGUAUGCAACCUACCCCCUGCAGGGGAAUAACCCGGAGAAAUCCGGACUAAUACCACACGGCACUUUCGGGAGGCAUCUUCUGAGGGUUAAAGGAGCGAUCCGGCCGGGGAUGGGCAUGCGGCGCAUUAGCUAGUCGGCGGGGUAACGGCCCACCGAGGCGACGAUGCGUAGGGGUUCUGAGAGGAAGGUCCCCCACACUGGUACUGAGACACGGACCAGACUCCUACGGGAGGCAGCAGUGAGGAAUAUUGGUCAAUGGGCGGGAGCCUGAACCAGCCAAGUCGCGUGAGGGACGACGGUCCUAUGGAUUGUAAACCUCUUUUGUCGGGGAACAAAGGCGCCCACGGGUGGGCGGAUGANUGUACCCGAAGAAAAAGCAUCGGCUAACUCCGUGCCAGCAGCCGCGGUAAUACGGAGGAUGCGAGCGUUAUCCGGAUUUAUUGGGUUUAAAGGGUGCGUAGGCGGACGGUCAAGUCAGCGGUAAAAAUGCGGUGCUCAACGCCGUACAGCCGUUGAAACUGGCAGUCUUGAGUGGGCGAGAAGUAUGCGGAAUGCGUGGUGUAGCGGUGAAAUGCAUAGAUAUCACGCANAACUCCGAUUGCGAAGGCAGCAUACCGGCNCCCGACUGACGCUNANGCACGAAAGCGUGGNUAUCGAACAGGAUUANAUACCCUGGUA